GCCUCAACCUCCCGAAUAGCUGGGACUACAGGUGCGUGCCAACACACCCGGCUAAUUUUUGUAUUUUUAGUAGAGAUGGGCGGUUUCACCAUGUUGGCCAGGCCUCAUGGUGAAACCUCCAUGGUUUUGAACCAGGAGUUUUGAACUCCUGGCCUCAAGUGAUCUGCCCGUCUUAGCCUCCCAAAAUGCUGGGAUUAUAGGCAUGAGCCACCACGCCCGGCUAAGACAAGUACAUAACUAGUCUUAACACAAUGGAGAAAAUGUUUAGAAAUCCCUAACAUAGGAAGAGUUGAGAGAUUAUUAGAUGUUCAUGGAAAGAAGUAUAUCAGAGAAGACAGCCCAGAGAAGACAAUCUUAGCUGGGCCUCAGCCUCCCAAAGUGCUGGGAUUACAGACAUGAGCAACGGCGCCCGGCCUCAAGUGGUAUCUUCUCUGCUUCACAGCUCUUGUGGGGUUUUUUGUUUGGUAUUUUUUGUAGAGCUGGCAUUUUGCCAUUUGCCAUGUUGGCCAGGCUAGUCUUGAACUCCUGGCCUUAAGUGAUCUGCCUGCCUCGGCCUCCCAAAGUGCUGGGAUUAUAGGCGUGAGCCACCACACCUGGUCUGAUUCACAGCUCUUAAGAAGUUUAUACUGUACUAAAAAUAUAUUCUUGUCCAUAACAUUGAUCUUUAAAAAGUUUUAAAAUAUAUUUUUAAGUAUCUAUCUGUAAGAUCACCAAAGGAUUUUUUGUUUGUUUGUUUUUUUGAGACAGAGUCUCGCACUGUCACCCGAGCUGGAGUGUAGUGGCGCGAUCUCGGCUCACUGCAACCUCUGCCUCCCCAGGUUCAAGCGAUUCUGCUGCCUCAGUCUUACAGGCGUGAGCCACCGCACCCAGCCCACCAAAGGAUUUUUUAAAAACCAAACAUGGAUAACUAAAAAUAAAAUGCAGAUAAAGUUGAAAAUCACCUCCUGCUUUAUUUCACAAGAAAAUUAAUAGAGCUCGAUUCUUAAUUAUAGUGCUUGGAUGUUGUCACUUUAAAACAGUAUAGGGAGAUGCUCUGUGCAUUCUCAAGAAGGAGCAACAUGUUUAGGCUUGUUUUUAUAAUCUUGGCUUCCUUAAAUGUGUAUAGCAGCUGAAUCAGCCCUUUAUGUCACUAAAGCUAAUGCAGAACUGUGAUUGUAUUAUUGAUUCAAAAGCUAAAAGCAUUAAGAAACUAGGAACUUGGAGUACCAUCCACCUUUAAAGAAAAAGUUCAUAAAUAGCCUUGUCUAUAAAUUGUAAGAACUCAUAUUUCAGUUGAUUUUUCUGUAUUAAUUUUACUGCCAUUUAAUUAAUUACAUAAAACAUAAAUAGAACUCUUUUUAAAAAUAGAGGCACAGUGAUCUCUUCAGCAGCACAUAUACUAAAAUUGGAAUGAUACAGAGAUUAGCAUGGUUCCCGUACAAGGAUGAUACACAAAUUUGUGAAGUGUUCUAUAUUUUUACAAAAAACUUUUUAAAAAUAGAGGCACAAAAAUCCAAUACACUGAAUGAUUUCACAGCAUGUCAAUGUUUCUAUACCUGUAGGU
rnacentral:lncRNA from 10 species